rnacentral:rRNA from 1 species
UACAGAGGUCCCAAGCGUUGUUCGGAUUCACUGGGCGUAAAGGGUGCGUAGGCGGUCGGGGUAAGUCUGAUGUGAAAUCUCACAGCUUAACUGUGAAACUGCAUUGGAUACUAUCCGGCUCGAGGAAUGGAGGGGAGACUGGAAUACUUGGUGUAGCAGUGAAAUGCGUAGAUAUCAAGUGGAACACCAGUGGCGAAAGCGAGUCUCUGGACAUUUCCUGACGCUGAGGCACGAAAGCCAGGGGAGCAAACGGG